rnacentral:rRNA from 1 species
AACGAACGCUGGCGGCGUGGAUAAGACAUGCAAGUGGAACGCUGUAAACUGGGUAGCAAUAUUUAGUUUGCAGAGUCGCGUAAGGGUGCUUAACACGUGGGCAAUUUGCCGUGAAUUUGAAGAUAACCUGUCGAAAGACAAGCUAAUACUCAAUAGUAUGAAUCUGUGGCAUCACAGAAUCAUUAAAGCCGGGGACCGCAAGGCCUGGUGAUUCGCGAUAAGCCCGCGGCCUAUCAGCUAGUUGGUAAGGUAACGGCUUACCAAGGCUACGACGGGUAGCUGGUCUUAGAGGACGACCAGCCACACUGGAACUGAGAUACGGUCCAGACACCUACGGGUGGCAG